GUCCUUACCUAGAAUAAAAAAGGAAUGUUAAGAGAAGAAGAGAAUUAAGACACGAAACUGCCGGCAGGUAACUCACGAUGCCGCCUUGUUAUCGCAAGGUUUGGGCGCUUUAUCGAUCGUAAAACAACGUUAUUUCCCUGUUUUUUGCUUCCUGCGAUAUGCCUCAGACUCGAACAGUGUGUAUAAAUUUUCCCUCUCCGCAGGUCUUCCUUAUAGCCAUCUCUAACCAUAACAGAUUCUGCUUCUGCUUAUUGUUAAUUUAAGCAUCGAGUUUCAAGAGAGAAAGACUACAGAAAACAAUGGUUGGAAAGAGGCAAACUGAUCAACCAAAAGUUACUAAAAGGAAGAAGGACCAUAGGCUGAGGAAAGGGGAGCUUGACCUGAAGAAGGAGAAGGAGAAAGUGAAAUUCUUCUCAGGGUUGCUAGCAGAGGUCGGAGCAGUGCAAGCGGAGCUGAUGGAAGACGUAGACAGCCUGCAGGACCCAACUGAAAGCGACCUGCAUCUAAAAUGUCAACAACUCAGAAGAGUCAACACUCAGGGUGCACUGCUGAAUACCAUGAUGCGAAACUACAUUAACAGGACGCUUGCUGUUUUAUUGGAUGGUGAAGGCGGAGGCAGUUGAUAAGAUCAGGAACCCUUGAAUGGUUAUUCGGAAUUACUCAGUUACUUUUCAGUACAUUAUCCUUUAACAGACCUAAAAUCACCUUUCCAUGUGUGCUAGUUGUGGAAGCUAUAUCAAUAAAUAAUACUUAAAAAUGUAUUGAAAAGUAAUUGAGGUAAGUUGAUGCUAGGAACGGCAUGAUUAGAGUAUCAACGCAGCGGAAUAAACAAAAUAAAAAUCAUGUCUCCUACCUUUGGAUUA